rnacentral:rRNA from 1 species
GAUGAACGCUAGCGGGAGGCCUAACACAUGCAAGCCGAGCGGUAUUUGUUCUUCGGAACAGAGAGAGCGGCGCACGGGUGCGGAACACGUGUGCAACCUGCCUUUAUCUGGGGGAUAGCCUUUCGAAAGGAAGAUUAAUACCCCAUAAUAUAUUGAGUGGCAUCAUUUGAUAUUGAAAACUCCGGUGGAUAGAGAUGGGCACGCGCAAGAUUAGAUAGUUGGUGAGGUAACGGCUCACCAAGUCAAUGAUCUUUAGGGGGCCUGAGAGGGUGAUCCCCCACACUGGUACUGAGACACGGACCAGACUCCUACGGGAGGCAGCAGUGAGGAAUAUUGGACAAUGGGUUAGCGCCUGAUCCAGCCAUCCCGCGUGAAGGACGACGGCCCUAUGGGUUGUAAACUUCUUUUGUAUAGGGAUAAACCUACUCUCGUGAGAGUAGCUGAAGGUACUAUACGAAUAAGCACCGGCUAACUACGUG